UGUAGGCAGGAAAGUGGAGAUCGACGUCACUUGAUAGGUGUGGUGUAGGCAGGAAAGUGGAGAUCGACGUCACUUGAUAGGUGUGGUGUAGGCAGGAAAGUGGAGAUCGACGUCACUUGAUAGGUGUUGUGUAGGCAGGAAAGUGGAGAUCGACGUCACUUGAUAGGUGUUGUGUAGGCAGGAAAGUGGAGAUCGACGUCACUUGAUAGGUGUUGUGUAGGCAGGAAAGUAGCGAUCGGUGUCACUUGAUAGGUGUUGUGUAGGCAGGAAAGUGGAGAUCGACGUCACUUGAUAGGUGUUGUGUAGGCAGGAAAGUGGAGAUCGACGUCACUUGAUAGGUGUUGUGUAGGCUGGAAAGUAGCGAUCGGUGUCACUUGAUAGGUGUUGUGUAGGCAGGAAAGUGGAGAUCGACGUCACUUGAUAGGUGUUGUGUAGGCAGGAAAGUAGCGAUCGGUGUCACUUGAUAGGUGUUGUGUAGGCAGGAAAGUGGAGAUCGACGUCACUUGAUAGGUGUUGUGUAGGCAGGAAAGUAGCGAUCGGUGUCACUUGAUAGGUGUUGUGUAGGCAGGAAAGUAGCGAUCGGUGUCACUUGAUAGGUGUUGUGUAGGCAGGAAAGUGGAGAUCGACGUCACUUGAUAGGUGUUGUGUAGGCAGGAAAGUGGAGAUCGACGUCACUUGAUAGGUGUUGUGUAGGCAGGAAAGUGGAGAUCGACGUCACUUGAUAGGUGUUGUGUAGGCAGGAAAGUGGAGAUCGACGUCACUUGAUAGGUGUUGUGUAGGCAGGAAAGUGGAGAUCGACGUCACUUGAUAGGUGUUGUGUAGGCAGGAAAGUAGCGAUCGGUGUCACUUGAUAGGUGUUGUGUAGGCAGGAAAGUGGAGAUCGACGUCACUUGAUAGGUGUUGUGUAGGCAGGAAAGUAGCGAUCGGUGUCACUUGAUAGGUGUUGUGUAGGCAGGAAAGUGGAGAUCGACGUCACUUGAUAGGUGUUGUGUAGGCAGGAAAGUAGCGAUCGGUGUCACUUGAUAGGUGUUGUGUAGGCAGGAAAGUGGAGAUCGACGUCACUUGAUAGGUGUUGUGUAGGCAGGAAAGUAGCGAUCGGUGUCACUUGAUAGGUGUUGUGUAGGCAGGAAAGUGGAGAUCGACGUCACUUGAUAGGUGUUGUGUAGGCAGGAAAGUAGCGAUCGGUGUCACUUGAUAGGUGUUGUGUAGGCAGGAAAGUGGAGAUCGACGUCACUUGAUAGGUGUUGUGUAGGCUGGAAAGUAGCGAUCGGUGUCACUUGAUAGGUGUUGUGUAGGCAGGAAAGUAGCGAUCGGUGUCACUUGAUAGGUGUUGUGUAGGCCGGAAAGUAGCGAUCGCAAGAAUUUUGCUUUGCCAUCACAGGACUAAAUUACACUUUUUAUUACAUUAUAAUGUAAUAAAUUACAUUUAUUAAAAUAGAAAACAGUUGAAAUUGGAAUAAUAUUUCACAGUAUUACUGUUUUACUGUAUUUUUGAUCAAAUAAAUGCAGAUUUGGUGAGCUAAAAGACUUGUUUCAAAAACAUUAAUAACUUUUGACUGGUAGUGUAAAUGUCAAGAUCCAUCAGUACACGAUAUUCAAGAGAAGAGACUUUCUAUGCCUUCUAUUUUCUGCCCUCCUGAAUAAUUCCCAGCCACUUUCAGGACAUGAUGUGCUGAAGCCAGAAGCUGCCCUGAACCCUGUCAACAUGUCACAGAGAUGCAGACCCACCGAGAUGGCAGCUGCCGCUGGAGGUCUCAGAGGAGCAGGGACAAGGCAGACAGGCGUCCGCGGACCCCUCGCCGUGACGCCGCUUGAACCGUCCGCACCGAAGGUGUCGCAAGCGCAGGGCAGACAGCCGAUGGUGCCGUUGGUGAAGUGAUCUUCCUCACACUCUUCACACUGCAGCCCAGUGUAACCCGGCAUACAGUCACACUGGCCCGUCUCACGGUCG